UUCCAGCAUCAAAAUGUCUGGUUGUUGCGUAUAUGGUUGUCAGAAUCGAUAUUCCACCGGCGGACUAAAGUUUUAUAGGAUUCCGACAGGAUCACAACCAUUUAAGAGCAACCGGCGGCGUCUGUGGCUGCAGGCGAUUAAACGUGUUGACUGGAAUGAGGACAUAAUAAAAAAUGCUCGGGUCUGUAGCGCCCACUUUAUAUCAGGUAAGGUUAUCUAUCUACUCUUUAAUUUUACAGAAAAGCUUGGUUUACAUUAGUGAUUGUAUUUACAAUGUAGAAUAAUAAUCAAAUGCAGCUAAAGUUUGAUAAGCUGGCGUUAGAUUUGCUGUUUGCAUGUCCCUUGCUGUAAACUCGUGGUCAUUGUAAGUGAGGGAAACUACAAUGCCCUACUAGUGUAAAUAAAGUUUUGAAACUAGAUUAAAAGGUGUUUUAUUUGCAGGUGAGGCGUCAUUGGACUCUAGUAGCCCCGAUUUUGUGCCUUCUGUGUUUGUGUACACAAAACAAAGCCAGAACCCCGAUGCAAAGAUGGACAGGUACCAUAGGAAAAGGAGGAGAGAGAGACCUAACAGACCUAACACUGCAACAGAUCCUCCGGUUCCAUCUGAAACUCCAGAACAAGAAUGCAGCAUGGAUCAUUGUUCUGGUAUGAAUAUAUUUAAUCUUACAAUUAACUGAUUGUCAGGGUUCCCACCGCCAUGUAUUUCCAGGAGAAAUGAUUACAUUAGAACAGUUUUCCAGACCUUGAAGUGGUUUUGGAAUCAACUGUGUGUGUGUGUGUGUGUGUGUGUGUGUGUGUGUGUGUGUGUGUGUGUGUGUGUGUGUGUGUGUGUGUGUGUGUGUGUGUGUGUGUGUGUGUGUGUGUGUGUGUGUGUGUGUGUGUGUCA